rnacentral:rRNA from 1 species
UACGAAGGGGGCUAGCGUUGCUCGGAAUGACUGGGCGUAAAGGGCGCGUAGGCGGCUUUGUCAGUUGGGCGUGAAAUUCCUGGGCUUAACCUGGGGGCUGCGUUCGAGACGGCGGGUCUUGAGUGGGGAAGAGGGUCGUGGAAUUCCCAGUGUAGAGGUGAAAUUCGUAGAUAUUGGGAAGAACACCGGUGGCGAAGGCGGCGACCUGGUGCUGUGACUGACGCUGAGGCGCGAAAGCGUGGGGAGCAAACAGG